CUGCGCAUGCGCACAUCAAGCGUACACAGGUGUUUUGAAGUUUGUGUGCUCUAAAUAUUUUUCAUUUUUCCAAACGUUUCAACGCGCAGAUACUGAGAUGAUCCACGUCCACCUCGAUCAGAUCCCCGACGCCGAUAUCUGGAACCACAACGAGGCCGAGCAAGCCGCAAGGGGGGACUCGAGCGGAAAAGCACCUUGGUCACGCCGGGCAAGCCGAGCCUGCUGAGUCUCCUGCAUGGGAUCAAGCGCAGUGCAGUCGCAGACAUCCUCUCCACUUCCUCGGAUCACCAGGAGGUACCGUGGCAGUUUCCUUUCUCCUUGGCUGCAUCUGCUUGCUCCUGAGGGGAUCGCAACAGUAGAGGUCACCCUGAGCCAGGCUGCAUAGGAAUGAAGGACUCGAGCGCCCGGCCGGCGCUGCUGCAGAGGUAUACAGUACACGCCCUCUCCUCAAACACAUCACUUCUCAUUUUCCGCGAUGACAACCGACCAAGGCAGUGACGUUUGUCAUCGGUUUAUUUUUC